rnacentral:rRNA from 1 species
UACGGAGGAUCCAAGCGUUAUCCGGAUUCAUUGGGUUUAAAGGGUGCGUAGGCGGAAUGAUAAGUCAGUGGUGAAAGCCUGCAGCUUAACUGCAGAACUGCCAUUGAUACUGUCAAUCUUGAGUACAUUUGAUGUGGGCGGAAUGUGUCAUGUAGCGGUGAAAUGCUUAGAUAUGACACAGAACACCGAUUGCGAAGGCA